GUGGUUGGACGUUUUAUUGCUCUCUUUCUCUCCUCCUCUCUCUCUCCCUCUCUUUCUCCUCCUCUCUCGCUGUCUCUCCCUCAGUCUCUCAGUCCCUCUUUAUCCGUCCGUGAGUUUGUUUGCCUUGGCGAGUGCAACAUCUGGCUCUGAUCAGUGGCUUUCCUAUCUUCUUGUUUUUCUUUUCAUUUGUUUCCCUUACUGAGUGAGCUGUGCCUACGUUAUCUACCACCUGCGCAUCCUGGAAGAGUGCAUCUCCGGGACUAGAAAGACUGGCUGGCUGGCUGGUUGGCUGGUUGCCUUACUGAUUUGACUGACAGACUCUGUGGGUCUUGGGUGCUUUGGGGCUGUGGCGUCCAGCACAGAGGCUGAAGGUAUACAGGGGGGGUUACGCCCGUUUCACUGCACCGGCGGCAGCAGUAGGAGCACAUAUUUCCCUGUGCUCUCUCUGUGCUCCCUGCUCUCACUUGCAUAGUAACCCACAUAAAUCAAGCAUGGAACGGGGCCGCACGGUGGCGUCGGCAGCAGCUGCAGCCUUAACGAUCCCAGUCUUCUCCUCGCAGGUGAGGCGAGCGUCAGACGACUGACUCCCCGGCAUUGUGCACAGUGGAAGGGAAGCUCUCUCUCAGGAGGAACAGGAAUUUAAGGGGCACUCAUUUAGCUUGAAUUUGCAUCAGUAAAAGCUGAUUGCCCCGUGCCACAGAGGAGUGCAAACGAAUGAAGGGAAUUCGGAGGAGAGGAAAGGUCUGAUUGGUGCCUGCAGUGUCUUCAUUUCUGUUUGCAGAACACAUCUAACAUGGAAGGCCCCACCUGCCCCAUCCUCGGGCAGCAGGCCAUCUUCAAUCAAUCACUCAGCCCAUAGAGAACAUGACAUCACUCAGGCUCACACCACUAUUGAGGACCUCUGAGUUCCCCUGCUGCUGUCCCCAAUGACCUCUCUUCUCUUCCUCCCCCUCCUUCUCUGUGACUCUCUUCGGUGACGGGUAUUCUUGGGUGGAUAAUACGGAUCACGUUGUUAUUGCUUAAGAAUACGCGUAGUUGAGGAGAGUCCUCUCGACACUGACUUGGAGGAGCUAAAGGAGCUAACGUCCUGCUGCAUGAGCCAAAGUAGAGCCAGGAUGACUGCCUGGUUUCCAUAUCCAGGACCAUUUAUCAAGCAACUAGACAGAUUAACAAAGCCUAAUUACUUUACUAGGCUUUCAGCUCUGCUUUCCAGCCCCUAUAGACACUAGCAGCAAAGACAGAAAGACAGACAGAGGGAGAGAGAGAGAGAGAGAGAGAGAGAGAGAGAGAGAGAGA